rnacentral:lncRNA from 1 species
CUGGAACGUUAGGAAGUUGCCCUGCAGCUGCCGAGACGCUUUUGUCUCGAGGAUCCUCUUUCUCUUCCUGCUGUGGUGCCUGCUGCCUUCAAUGCUUUGCUGGUGCAAAGAGAGUAACCUUUAGAGAACUCGACACAUUUUGGAAUUUUGGAAACUUGGAACUGGGUGAGUCUGUUGGAGUGCACCCGACCACCCUCUGCCUCCUUUAGGGUGUCGCUGUGGCUCUGCUCUAUUUAGACUUGGCCGCUGAUGACACCAUUUGAGCACUUUAUGCAUUUAUGUUUAUUUGUGUUUUUGGCACCCUUAGGGCUUUGCUCAGUUCAGACUUAUUCACCUGGGAGGCCGGCUUGAAACUGAGGCACAGAAUUGGAAAAAACUACUUUAAAGUUCAUAUGGAACCAAAAAAGAGCCCGCAUCGCCAAGUCAAUCCUAAGCCAAAAGAACAAGGCUGGAGGCAUCACGCUACCUGACUUCAAACUAUACUACAAGGCUACAGUAACCAAAACAGCAUGGUACUGGUACCAAAACAGAGAUAUAGAUCAAUGGAACAGAACAGAGCCCUCAGAAGUAAUGCUGCAUAUCUAUAACUAUCUGAUCUUUGACAAACCUGAGAAAAAUAAGCAAUGGGGAAAGGAUUCCCUAUUUAAUAAAUGGUGAUGGGAAAACUGGCUAGCCAUAUGUAGAAAGCUGAGGUGGGACUGUAUACUAGUUCAACCAUUGUGGAAGUCAGUGUGACGAUUCCUCAGGGAUCUAGAACUAGAAAUACCAUUUGACCCAGCCAUCCCAUUACUGGGUAUAUACCCAAAGGAUUAUAAAUCAUGCUGCUAUAAAGACACAUGCACAGGUAUGUUUAUUGCGGCACUAUUCACAAUAGCAAAGACUUGGAACCAACCCAAAUGUCCAACAAUGAUAGACUGGAUUAAGAAAAUGUGGCACAUAUACACCAUGGAAUACUAUGCAGCCAUUAAAAAUGAUGAGUUCAUGUCCUUUGUAGGGACA